rnacentral:rRNA from 1 species
GACGAACGCUGGCGGCGUGCCUAAUACAUGCAAGUUGAGCGCUGAAGGUUGGUACUUGUACCAACUGGAUGAGCAGCGAACGGGUGAGUAACGCGUGGGGAAUCUGCCUUUGAGCGGGGGACAACAUUUGGAAACGAAUGCUAAUACCGCAUAAAAACUUUAAACACAAGUUUUAAGUUUGAAAGAUGCAAUUGCAUCACUCAAAGAUGAUCCCGCGUUGUAUUAGCUAGUUGGUGAGGUAAAGGCUCACCAAGGCGAUGAUACAUAGCCGACCUGAGAGGGUGAUCGGCCAACUUGGGACUGAGACACGGCCCAAACUCCUACGGGAGGCAGCAGUAGGGAAUCUUCGGCAAUGGACGAAAGUCUGACCGAGCAACGCCGCGUGAGUGAAGAAGGUUGUCGGAUCGUAAAACUCUGUUGGUAGAGAAGAACGUUGGUGAGAGUGGAAAGCUCAUCAAGUGACGGUAACUACCCAGAAAGGGACGGCUAACUACGUG